ACGGGGUGCAGCAGGCGCGAAACCUUUGCAAUGUGCGCAAGCACGACAAGGUUAAUCCGAGUGUUUCCUGCUAAAGGAAUCUUUUGUUAGUCGUAAAACCACUGAUGAAUAAGGGGUGGGCAAGUUCUGGUGUCAGCCGCCGCGGUAAAACCAGCACCUCAAGUGGCCAGGAGGAUUAUUGGGCCUAAAGCAUCCGUAGCCGGCUCUGCAAGUUUUCGGUUAAAUCCAUUUGCUUAACAAAUGGGCUGCCGAAAAUACUACAUAGCUAGGGAGUGGGAGAGGUAGACGGUAUUCGGUAGGAAGGGGUAAAAUCCUUUGAUCUAUUGAGGACCACCUAUGGCGAAGGCAGUCUACCAGAACACGUUCGACGGUGAGGGAUGAAAGCUGGGGGAGCAAACCGGAUUAGAUACCCGGGUAGUCCCAGCUGUAAACGAUGCAGACUCGGUGAUGCGCUGGCUUGUGGCCAGUGCAGUGCCGCAGGGAAGCCGUUAAGUUUGCCGCCUGGGAAGUACGUACGCAAGUAUGAAACUUAAAGGAAUUGGCGGGGGAGCAC
rnacentral:rRNA from 2 species